rnacentral:rRNA from 1 species
GACAGAGGGGGCAAGCGUUGCUCGGAAUCACUGGGCGUAAGGGCGCGUAGGCGGCUGUUCAAGUCGAACGUGAAAACUCGGAGCUCAACUCCGAGCCUGCGUUCGAUACUGCCUCGCUUGAGUACUGGAGAGGAGACUGGAAUUUACGGUGUAGCAGUGAAAUGCGUAGAUAUCGUAAGGAAGACCAGUGGCGAAGGCGAGUCUCUGGACAGAUUACGUGACG